GUACAAUCUAGGGGCUAAGCUGACCAGUGGUUAUCCUACUCAGAUGAUGUGAGGAUUAAUUGGAUGGUGUCCGUGCUGUCUGCUAGAAAGACAGAAAGUGUGAAGUGUCAUCUGGAUGGGUUUGCUGUUGUCAAAGAAAGCUCCAAAGAAAAUUGAGCUUGUGAACUGACUGAACUGCAAAUUGAAGAAUCCUCUUUGUACAACUCCAUGUCAAGAAUGUGUUUACAGACUGGCCUACAGCUCUGAACUUUGACAUGUGAGUGCAGGGAUUCAGAAUAUCUGAAGGCCACCAUGCAGUGCGGUGACAGGACUGAAGUCCUUAGCAGAAACACCUGGAUUGAAUGUGCAGCAGGACUUCAGUCAACA